rnacentral:rRNA from 1 species
UACAGAGGGGGCAAGCGUUGUUCGGAAUUACUGGGCGUAAAGGGCGCGUAGGCGGCCUGUUAAGUCGAACGUGAAAUCCCCGGGCUCAACCCGGGAACUGCGUCCGAUACUGGCAGGCUUGAGGGAGGUAGGGGCGGAUGGAACUUCCGGUGGAGCGGUGAAAUGCGUAGAUAUCGGAAGGAACGCCGGUGGCGAAAGCGAUCCGCUGGACCUCCUCUGACGCUGAGGCGCGAAAGCCAGGGGAGCAAACGGG